CCUCUUGGAUAAUUAUGCUGUUUUCAUCUUCAGCCACGGACAUUGUAUCUUUGAGAUCAAAAACAUUCCUAAGCAGUAAAUUUUUCUCCUCAAGCAUCUGACUUUUUUCUUUUAUUUGUUCUUUGCAAAUCUAUCAAUUCUGCAUGCGGAGCCGCCACUUAGACUUAGGUGCACUGUCUCGUUUUUCUCCAUUUUCCACUUCAGUCCUCACUUGCCUCAUAUUCUCUAGAAGUUCAACGUUCUCUUUCUGCAAAAUUUCAUUCUUCUAGCUCAUGGUCUCAAUCUCUUGUUCCAUGAUCUUUUUCUUUGACACUUUUUUUUCACCCAAGAACUUUUCUCAGAUCGAUGUUGCAGAAGGACCUACUGCUUUUCCUCUUGGCUUUUCACACAAGAACUUUUCAAGCCCUCAAUGUUGUCUAAAAUGUGCAGUGUUGGUAUUCCUCUUGCUUCAUUAUCAAGCCCCACACACUUGAUGAAUAUCCACUUUAAGCUUUCUAAUUUCUUGUAAUAAAAACUCUUCUUCCAUCAGUUGCAUAAAGUUUUCAAUCUCCAACUCAGAUAACUGUGUUAAAAAAUCAAGAUUUGGUACACUUCCUACUGUGACUACAUCAUAACUUUGAUAAGGAUUACUGCUUUUUUUCAUUGGUCGAUGGAUUAAAGGUGAGAUAGGAAAUAUUGAUAAUGGAAAUCAUAUUUCACUUUUCCAAAAGCCUGUCAAAACCAUUACCUAACAUAAAGUGGAAGGUAACCUAGUGUCCAUUAUGAUAUCAUGCUACAUGUUGUAUUGACAAGGAUGUUUUUGUUCUUACAUUGAAUAUCACGACUAUAUUCUUUACCAAAAGACUGCGUAGCGUCUAAUAUUCUAUUUCUAAUGAUUAAUGGUUUGAAAUGGGUCUCCCACACUUAAGUGAUAAUCCAUUGCCUGCUUUUACUAAUUUUUACUUGAGGCACUACUUUCUAUUUUGCAUUUUGCUGUCACCUUUUCUCUCUAGGAUGAGUUCAAUGACACACAUGCAUACACCAGAUAGAUUUUGGACUGCGACUUGGGAUUCAUCUUUUAAUUAGUUGUGUUUAGAAUUGUAAUGUAAAUUAUUGAUUUUCCCUUUGCCAUGGGAGAUAUCAUUUAAUAUUUUCCAUUCCUUACCUCUGAGGGAGUAGUUGUUUUGCAUCUCCGACCUUUACUAUUCAACCUUUCCACCGGUUGACUUUUCUUUUCAUCCAAGGGGCAAGAAUAACUAUAUGGCAUCAUAUGGUAUCGGUUACCCCCUUCUUGUUCUUGGUCUAAUUUCUUUAGUGAAAUCUGCCACGGAGACUGGCGAUUUAUGUCUAAAGUCUAUACAAAUUGAUUAUAUCAAAAUUAAUAAAUAAUGUGACAUUACUGUUUAAAUUAUAAUAACUUCUUAGUAUAUUAAUUCAGGCUACCAUCUAAUGAAAAUGAUAUUAACAUCUUUAUUGAUUUUAUACACAAGAGUUGAUUGGUUCCUUGGACAGAAGUACAUUUUCUCCUUAACGUUUUGUGCAGUCUGCCGGGAUCUAGAGGAAGACGACAUACCUGUUGCUCUACGUGCUUGCUUGAAAUUGUUCUGAAAGAAUGAAUUCACUGGGAGUGGAUUGGGGAAGUUGUUGGCUAUGAUUAAAUGUCUGAAUGGCUAGCAAUUCACCUGAGUGGCCGCCGAUGAUCAAGGUUCCAUGUUGAAAACAGUUCUUCCAGAAAUUUGGAGUUUUGGUUUAUUGCUUUUGCCACAAAUCACGAUGGUAAGAGUCAGCACAAUCACAACCAUCUGUUGCAUAGCAAAUUCUUCUGGUCUUUGAUAGCAAUGCUUGUUUGUGUGGGGUCACUAUCCUUUAUAUCGAUUAAAAGUAUAAUAGAAAAAUGUUUCUUUGACUUUUUGAGCAAAUAAUGAAAUUUUGAUAUUUAAUUCUA